CGGUGAAACACCGGUUCUAGUACGAUCACCGAAGUUCAGCAACGACGAGUUUGGUCAGUACUUCGAUGGGCGACCACUUAAGAACACUAAGUGCUGCAA